AUUGAACGCUGGCGGCAUGCCUUACACAUGCAAGUCGAACGGCAGCACGGGUGCUUGCACCUGGUGGCGAGUGGCGAACGGGUGAGUAAUACAUCGGAACAUGUCCUGUAGUGGGGGAUAGCCCGGCGAAAGCCGGAUUAAUACCGCAUACGAUCUACGGAUGAAAGCGGGGGCCCUUCGGGCCUCGCGCUAUAGGGUUGGCCGAUGGCUGAUUAGCUAGUUGGUGGGGUAACGGCCUACCAAGGCGACGAUCAGUAGCUGGUCUGAGAGGACGACCAGCCACACUGGGACUGAGACACGGCCCAGACUCCUACGGGAGGCAGCAGUGGGGAAUUUUGGACAAUGGGCGAAAGCCUGAUCCAGCAAUGCCGCGUGUGUGAAGAAGGCCUUCGGGUUGUAAAGCACUUUUGUCCGGAAAGAAAUCCUUGGCCCUAAUACGGUCGGGGGAUGACGGUACCGGAAGAAUAAGCACCGGCUAACUACGUG
rnacentral:rRNA from 1 species